GAACGCUGGCGGCGUGCUUAACACAUGCAAGUCGAACGAGAAAGGGAUUGCUUGCAAUCCUGAGUAGAGUGGCGCACGGGUGAGUAACACGUAGAUAAUCUACCUUCAAGCCUGGAAUAACUAUUCGAAAGGUAGCUAAUACCCGGAUAAGGUUUUAUCACAUAAGUGAUAUUAUGAAAGAUUGCCUCUUCUUGAAAGCAAUUGUUUGGAGAUGAGUCUGCGGACCAUUAGUUUGUUGGUGGGGUAAAGGCCUACCAAGACUACGAUGGUUAGCUGGUCUGAGAGGAUGAUCAGCCACACUGGAACUGACACACGGUCCAGACUCCUACGGGAGGCAGCAGUGGGGAAUAUUGCACAAUGGGGGAAACCCUGAUGCAGCCAUGCCGCGUGUGUGAAGAAGGCUUUCGGGUUGUAAAGCUCUGUCGAGUGGGAAGAAAUUACUUCAUAUUAAUAGUAUGUUGUAUUGACGGUACCACUAAAGGAAGCACCGGCUAACUCCGUGCCAGCAGCCGCGGUAAUACGGAGGGUGCAAGCGUUAUUCGGAAUCAUUGGGCGUAAAGGGCGCGUAGGCUGCCUUACAAGUCAGAUGUGAAAGCCCGGGGCUCAACCCCGGAAGUGCAUUUGAAACUGUAAUACUUGAGUAUGGGAGAGGAAAGUGGAAUUCCUGGUGUAGAGGUGAAAUUCGUAGAUAUCAGGAGGAACACCAGUGGCGAAGGCGACUUUCUGGACCAAUACUGACGCUCAGACUCGAAGGCGUGGGGAGCGAACAGGAUUAGAUACCCUGGUAGUCCACGCAGUAAACGUUGACAACUAGGUGUCGCGGGUAUUGACCCCUGCGGUGCCGGAGCUAAAGCAUUAAGUUGUCCGCCUGGGGAGUACGAUCGCAAGAUUAAAACUCAAAGGAAUCAACGGGGGCCCGCACAAGCGGGGUAGCAGGGGGUGGAAGUCGACGCAACGCUAAGAACCUUACCGGGAGUUGACAUCCCUGGGAAUAUUUUCGAAAGAUUUUAGUGCCCUUCGGGGAACCCAGUGACAGGUGCUGCAUGGCUGUCGUCAGCUCGUGUCGUGAGAUGUUCGGUUAAGUCCGGCAACGAGCGCAACCCCUAUCUUCAGUUGCCAUCAUUUAGUUGGGAACUCUGAAGAUACUGCCCCGGUUAACGGGGAGGAAGGUGGGGAUGACGUCAAGUCCUCAUGGCCCUUAUGUCCAGGGCUACACACGUGCUACAAUGGUAUGUACAGAGGGUAGCGAACUCGCGAGAGUAAGCCAAUCCCUUAAAGCAUAUCUCAGUUCGGAUUGGAGUCUGCAACUCGACUCCAUGAAGUUGGAAUCGCUAGUAAUCGCGGAUCAGCAUGCCGCGGUGAAUACGUUCCCGGGCCUUGUACACACCGCCCGUCACACCACGAGAGUUGAUUGUACCAGAAGUUGUUGGGCUAACCC
rnacentral:rRNA from 1 species